rnacentral:misc_RNA from 1 species
GAACGCACAUUGCGCCCGCCAGUAUUCUGGCGGGCAUGCCUGUCCGAGCGUCAUUUCAACCCUCGAACCCCUCCGGGGGGUCGGCGUUGGGGAUCGGCCCUUUACCGGCCGGCCCCGAAAUACAGUGGCGGUCUCGCCGCAGCCUCUCCUGCGCAGUAGUUUGCACACUCGCACCGGGAGCGCGGCGCAGUCCAAUGCCGUAAAACACCCAACUUUCUGAAAUGUUGACCUCGGAUCAGGUAGGAAUACCCGCUGAACUUAAG